UACCUGAAGCAAACUUGAAGGAAAAAGACUUGUCUUCUUUCCUGGCAGGGACUCAGCCAAUGAAAAGCCAUGGACUCUGUUUACUACAGCCCUCCCAACUUCCUUUUCCUCUCUAUAAAAGACUUCUUUUUCCCUUGCC